GCGUGGGGGAUGACGGCCUUCGGGUUGUAAACCCCUGUCAGGUGGGACGAAAAGGUCGGGAUUAAUACCCCUGGCCGUUGACGGUACCACCAGAGGAAGCCCCGGCUAACUCCGUGCCAGCAGCCGCGGUAAUACGGAGGGGGCUAGCGUUAUUCGGAAUUAUUGGGCGUAAAGGGCGCGUAGGCGGCUUGGUAAGUCAAAGGUGAAAGCCCUCGGCUCAACCGGGGAAUUGCCUUUGAUACUGCCUCGCUCGAGGCCGGGAGAGGGUGGUGGAAUUCCCAGUGUAGCGGUGAAAUGCGU
rnacentral:rRNA from 1 species